AUUCAUCUUCGGGGCAGGGUGAAAUUCCCGAUCGGCGGUAAUAGAAGCUGCAACUUCCGACCAUUUACUUGGAGGAUUUUGCAUACAGUUUCUUCAGCCCGCGAGCUUUUUUGAGCAGGAUUUGGUGCGAUUCCAAAGCCGACAGUAUAGUCUGGAUGGGAGAAGGUGAAG
rnacentral:ncRNA from 2 species